CAAAAACAUGUCUAUAUGGUUGUUAUAUAAAGUCUAGCCUGCCCACUGAUUUAGUUUAAAGGGCCGCGGUAUAUUGACCGUGCGAAGGUAGCAUAAUCAUUAGUCUUUUAAUUGAAGGCUUGUAUGAAUGGUUGGACAAAAAGUAAGCUGUCUCAAUUAUAAUAAUUGAAUUUAACUUUUAAGUGAAAAGGCUUAAAUAAAUUAAGGGGACGAUAAGACCCUAUAAAGCUUGACAAUAAUUUAAUUAUACUAUCAAUUGUUAGUAUAACUUGGUUUUAAUUAAUAUUUGUUGCGUUGGGGCGACGAGAAUAUAAUAGGUAACUGUUCUUAAAUAUUUAAUAACAAAUAUAAUUGGAAAUUAGUAUGAUCCUCUAUUAGCGAUUAAAAGAUUAAGUUACUUUAGGGAUAACAGCGUAAUCUUCUUUGAGAGUCCCUAUCGACAAGAAGGUUUGCGACCUCGAUGUUGAAUUAAGGUAUCCUUAUGAUGCAGCAGUUAUAAAGGAAGGUCUGUUCGACCUUUAAAUCCU
rnacentral:rRNA from 1 species